rnacentral:rRNA from 1 species
ACCUACCUUACAUUGGGGGAUAGCCUUUCAAAAGGGAGAUUAAUACCGCAUACUCAGCAGCUGGGCUUCCCAGAGCUGUUAAAGAUUUAUCGCUGUACGACGGGCAUGCGACCAAUUAUUCAGUUGGUGAGGUGUUGCUCACCAACCCUAUGAUUGGUAGGGGAACUGAGAGGUCAAUCCCCCACACUGGCACUGACAUGAGAGCCACACUCCUACACCAGGCCUACUAGGGAAUAUUGGGCGAUGGAUGCAAGUCUGANNNNNNNNUGCCCCGUGCCGGAAGAAGGGAUUAUGCACCGCAUGCUGCUUGCAAACACGAUCAAACGACUCUUGCGACAGGCCUUGUCGGUAUUGUAAGAAUAAUAACCGGCUAACUCCGUGNNNNNNNGCGGUCACCGGAGGGUGCAGCGUUGCCCGGAUUUAUUGGUUUUAAUUGGUGCGCAUGUGGCUUAUUAAGUCAGUGGUGAAAGACG